rfam:Planctomycetes bacterium DG_58 WOR1_52_54_14432, whole genome shotgun sequence.
UCCCCGAAACGGCGAAACCCGAGGAAUCGGGUGGCGCAAAGCACGGGACCCUACCCCGACGUGUCGGGAGGGUUGCCCGGCUGCCGAA